rnacentral:rRNA from 1 species
GCUCAGAACGAACGCUGGCGGCGUGGAUAAGACAUGCAAGUCGAACGAGAGAAUUGCUAGCUUGCUAAUAAUUCUCUAGUGGCGCACGGGUGAGUAACACGUGAGUAACCUGCCCCCGAGAGCGGGAUAGCCCUGGGAAACUGGGAUUAAUACCGCAUAGUAUCGAAAGAUUAAAGCAGCAAUGCGCUUGGGGAUGGGCUCGCGGCCUAUUAGUUAGUUGGUGAGGUAACGGCUCACCAAGGCGAUGACGGGUAGCCGGUCUGAGAGGAUGUCCGGCCACACUGGAACUGAGACACGGUCCAGACACCUACGGGUGGCAGCAGUCGAGAAUCAUUCACAAUGGGGGAAACCCUGAUGGUGCGACGCCGCGUGGGGGAAUGAAGGUCUUCGGAUUGUAAACCCCUGUCAUGUGGGAGCAAAUUAAAAAGAUAGUACCACAAGAGGAAGAGACGGCUAACUCUGUGCCAGCAGCCGCGGUAAUACAGAGGUCUCAAGCGUUGUUCGGAAUCACUGGGCGUAAAGCGUGCGUAGGCUGUUUCGUAAGUCGUGUGUGAAAGGCGCGGGCUCAACCCGCGGACGGCACAUGAUACUGCGAGACUAGAGUAAUGGAGGGGGAACCGGAAUUCUCGGUGUAGCAGUGAAAUGCGUAGAUAUCGAGAGGAACACUCGUGGCGAAGGCGGGUUCCUGGACAUUAACUGACGCUGAGGCACGAAGGCCAGGGGAGCGAAAGGGAUUAGAUACCCCUGUAGUCCUGGCAGUAAACGGUGCACGCUUGGUGUGCGGGGAAUCGACCCCCUGCGUGCCGGAGCUAACGCGUUAAGCGUGCCGCCUGGGGAGUACGGUCGCAAGAUUAAAACUCAAAGAAAUUGACGGGGACCCGCACAAGCGGUGGAGUAUGUGGCUUAAUUCGAUGCAACGCGAAGAACCUUACCUGGGCUUGACAUGUAAUGAACAACAUGUGAAAGCAUGCGACUCUUCGGAGGCGUUACACAGGUGCUGCAUGGCCGUCGUCAGCUCGUGUCGUGAGAUGUUUGGUUAAGUCCAGCAACGAGCGCAACCCCUGUUGCCAGUUACCAGCACGUGAAGGUGGGGACUCUGGCGAGACUGCCCAGAUCAACUGGGAGGAAGGUGGGGACGACGUCAGGUCAGUAUGGCCCUUAUGCCCAGGGCUGCACACGUACUACAAUGCCCAGUACAGAGGGGGCCGAAGCCGCGAGGCGGAGGAAAUCCUAAAAACUGGGCCCAGUUCGGACUGUAGGCUGCAACCCGCCUACACGAAGCCGGAAUCGCUAGUAAUGGCGCAUCAGCUACGGCGCCGUGAAUACGUUCCCGGGUCUUGUACACACCGCCCGUCACAUCAUGGAAGCCGGUCGCACCCGAAGUAUCUGAAGCCAACCGCAAGGAGGCGGUCCUAUGAGACUGGUAACUGGGAUGAA